rnacentral:tRNA from 1 species
GGGCUGGUGGCGGAAUUGGUAGACGCGCUAGACUCAAAAUCUGGUUCAUGUACGUGAGUGGGGGUUCAAGUCCCCCCCGGCCCA